rnacentral:tRNA from 1 species
GGGCGGUUAGCUCAGCUGGUUAGAGCGCAUGCUUUACACGCAUGAGGUCACAGGUUCGAUCCCUGUACCGCCCA